rnacentral:siRNA from 1 species
AUGGUGGUGGAAAUACUUCAGU